rnacentral:rRNA from 1 species
AGCGUACACGGUGGAUGCCCUGGCAGUCAGAGGCGAUGAAGGACGUGCUAAUCUGCGAUAAGCGUCGGUAAGGUGAUAUGAACCGUUAUAACCGGCGAUUUCCGAAUGGGGAAACCCAGUGUGAUUCGUCACACUAUCAUUAACUGAAUCCAUAGGUUAAUGAGGCGAACCGGGGGAACUGAAACAUCUAAGUACCCCGAGGAAAAGAAAUCAACCGAGAUUCCCCCAGUAGCGGCGAGCGAACGGGGAGCAGCCCAGAGCCUGAAUCAGUGUGUGUGUUAGUGGAAGCGUCUGGAAAGGCGCGCGAUACAGGGUGACAGCCCCGUACACAAAAAUGCACAUGCUGUGAGCUCGAUGAGUAGGGCGGGACACGUGGUAUCCUGUCUGAAUAUGGGGGGACCAUCCUCCAAGGCUAAAUACUCCUGACUGACCGAUAGUGAACCAGUACCGUGAGGGAAAGGCGAAAAGAACCCCGGCGAGGGGAGUGAAAAAGAACCUGAAACCGUGUACGUACAAGCAGUGGGAGCACGCUUAGGCGUGUGACUGCGUACCUUUUGUAUAAUGGGUCAGCGACUUAUAUUCUGUAGCAAGGUUAACCGAAUAGGGGAGCCGAAGGGAAACCGAGUCUUAACUGGGCGUUAAGUUGCAGGGUAUAGACCCGAAACCCGGUGAUCUAGCCAUGGGCAGGUUGAAGGUUGGGUAACACUAACUGGAGGACCGAACCGACUAAUGUUGAAAAAUUAGCGGAUGACUUGUGGCUGGGGGUGAAAGGCCAAUCAAACCGGGAGAUAGCUGGUUCUCCCCGAAAGCUAUUUAGGUAGCGCCUCGUGAAUUCAUCUCCGGGGGUAGAGCACUGUUUCGGCAAGGGGGUCAUCCCGACUUACCAACCCGAUGCAAACUGCGAAUACCGGAGAAUGUUAUCACGGGAGACACACGGCGGGUGCUAACGUCCGUCGUGAAGAGGGAAACAACCCAGACCGCCAGCUAAGGUCCCAAAGUCAUGGUUAAGUGGGAAACGAUGUGGGAAGGCCCAGACAGCCAGGAUGUUGGCUUAGAAGCAGCCAUCAUUUAAAGAAAGCGUAAUAGCUCACUGGUCGAGUCGGCCUGCGCGGAAGAUGUAACGGGGCUAAACCAUGCACCGAAGCUGCGGCAGCGACGCUUAUGCGUUGUUGGGUAGGGGAGCGUUCUGUAAGCCUGCGAAGGUGUGCUGUGAGGCAUGCUGGAGGUAUCAGAAGUGCGAAUGCUGACAUAAGUAACGAUAAAGCGGGUGAAAAGCCCGCUCGCCGGAAGACCAAGGGUUCCUGUCCAACGUUAAUCGGGGCAGGGUGAGUCGACCCCUAAGGCGAGGCCGAAAGGCGUAGUCGAUGGGAAACAGGUUAAUAUUCCUGUACUUGGUGUUACUGCGAAGGGGGGACGGAGAAGGCUAUGUUGGCCGGGCGACGGUUGUCCCGGUUUAAGCGUGUAGGCUGGUUUUCCAGGCAAAUCCGGAAAAUCAAGGCUGAGGCGUGAUGACGAGGCACUACGGUGCUGAAGCAACAAAUGCCCUGCUUCCAGGAAAAGCCUCUAAGCAUCAGGUAACAUCAAAUCGUACCCCAAACCGACACAGGUGGUCAGGUAGAGAAUACCAAGGCGCUUGAGAGAACUCGGGUGAAGGAACUAGGCAAAAUGGUGCCGUAACUUCGGGAGAAGGCACGCUGAUAUGUAGGUGAAGUGAUUUACUCAUGGAGCUGAAAUCAGUCGAAGAUACCAGCUGGCUGCAACUGUUUAUUAAAAACACAGCACUGUGCAAACACGAAAGUGGACGUAUACGGUGUGACGCCUGCCCGGUGCCGGAAGGUUAAUUGAUGGGGUCAGCGCAAGCGAAGCUCUUGAUCGAAGCCCCGGUAAACGGCGGCCGUAACUAUAACGGUCCUAAGGUAGCGAAAUUCCUUGUCGGGUAAGUUCCGACCUGCACGAAUGGCGUAAUGAUGGCCAGGCUGUCUCCACCCGAGACUCAGUGAAAUUGAACUCGCUGUGAAGAUGCAGUGUACCCGCGGCAAGACGGAAAGACCCCGUGAACCUUUACUAUAGCUUGACACUGAACAUUGAGCCUUGAUGUGUAGGAUAGGUGGGAGGCUUUGAAGUGUGGACGCCAGUCUGCAUGGAGCCGACCUUGAAAUACCACCCUUUAAUGUUUGAUGUUCUAACGUGGACCCGUAAUCCGGGUUGCGGACAGUGUCUGGUGGGUAGUUUGACUGGGGCGGUCUCCUCCUAAAGAGUAACGGAGGAGCACGAAGGUUGGCUAAUCCUGGUCGGACAUCAGGAGGUUAGUGCAAUGGCAUAAGCCAGCUUGACUGCGAGCGUGACGGCGCGAGCAGGUGCGAAAGCAGGUCAUAGUGAUCCGGUGGUUCUGAAUGGAAGGGCCAUCGCUCAACGGAUAAAAGGUACUCCGGGGAUAACAGGCUGAUACCGCCCAAGAGUUCAUAUCGACGGCGGUGUUUGGCACCUCGAUGUCGGCUCAUCACAUCCUGGGGCUGAAGUAGGUCCCAAGGGUAUGGCUGUUCGCCAUUUAAAGUGGUACGCGAGCUGGGUUUAGAACGUCGUGAGACAGUUCGGUCCCUAUCUGCCGUGGGCGCUGGAGAACUGAGGGGGGCUGCUCCUAGUACGAGAGGACCGGAGUGGACGCAUCACUGGUGUUCGGGUUGUCAUGCCAAUGGCACUGCCCGGUAGCUAAAUGCGGAAGAGAUAAGUGCUGAAAGCAUCUAAGCACGAAACUUGCCCCGAGAUGAGUUCUCCCUGACUCCUUGA